rnacentral:tRNA from 1 species
UGGGCCGUGGGGUAACGGUAGCCCGACGGGUUCUGGCCCCGUUAGUCCAGGUUCGAAUCCUGGCGGCCCAGCCA